rnacentral:hammerhead_ribozyme from 1 species
AUCAGACUGACGAGUCUCGAAUAGGAUGAAACGCGCGUCCUGGAU